rnacentral:rRNA from 1 species
GUCAGCAGCCAUAUCACUCUGCAACUCACAGCCAGCAGCCCACUGAAGCCAAGACGGCCCAGUACCUGGAUGGGAGACCUCCUGGGAAAAACUGAGGCUGCUGUUG